rnacentral:rRNA from 1 species
UACGUAGGGUGCGAGCGUUGUCCGGAAUUAUUGGGCGUAAAGGGCUCGUAGGCGGUCUGUCACGUCGGGAGUGAAAACCCAGGGCUCAACCCUGGGCCUGCUUCCGAUACGGGCAGACUAGAGGUAUGCAGGGGAGAAUGGAAUUCCUGGUGGAGCGGUGAAAUGCGUUGAUAUUGGAAGGAACGCCGGAGGCGAAAGCGACGCACUGGAUCUCUACUGACGCUGAGGCGCGAAAGCUAGGGGAGCAAACGGG